rnacentral:rRNA from 1 species
AUUGAACGCUGGCGGCAUGCUUUACACAUGCAAGUCGAACGGCAGCGCGGGCUUCGGCCUGGCGGCGAGUGGCGAACGGGUGAGUAAUGCAUCGGAACGUGCCCAGUAGUGUGGGAUAGGCCGGCUAAAGCCGGAUUAAUACCGCAUACGACCUGAGGGUGAAAGCGGGGGACCGAAAGGCCUCGCGCUAUUGGAGCGGCCGAUGUCGGGUUAGCUAGUUGGUGGGGUAAAGGCUUACCAAGGCGACGAUCCGUAGCUGGUCUGAGAGGACGACCGGCCACACUGGAACUGGAACACGCCCCAGACUCCUACGGGAGGAAGCAGUGGGGAAUUUUGGAAAAGGGGGGCAACCCUGAUCCAGCCAUGCCGCGUGCGGGAAGAAGGCCUUCGGGUUGUAAACCGCUUUUGUUCGGGAAGAAAUCCUCUGGGCUAAUACGCCGGGGGGAUGACGGUACCGGAAGAAUAAGCACCGGCUAACUACGUG